rnacentral:lncRNA from 1 species
GGCCUAUUUUGCCGGCCUCUCCCAUAACUCACGGAGCGCGCCUGAAGGCCAUCAACAAUCCUAUUUGCGCAUGGCCACCUAGAAUACUGAAGAGAUGGAAAAGACGUCGGCAUUACUCAUGAGGCCCCAGGGAAACCAUAAUUUAAAACCUCUGAACGAAAAAAGAUGUCACAGUCUCCCUGCAGCUCCUGGGCCAGAUCCUGGAAGGGUUGCCAGAAUUGCCAAGAAAGAUCCCUCCGCUGCAAACAGGAGGAGUAGUGAAAACAAUGAGAAAAUACCAACCAAACUUUUCAACUUUUAUACCAGAAUGCCAGCUUUGCCACAUGUCACCUCUAUGGUCAGGCCACCCAAGAUGGCUCUUCUCUUGCUCUCUGUACAUCCCCCGCUCGACCGGUGCCUGCUUAACCUACACCCUGCUUGA